GACAAACGCUGGCGGCGUGCAUAAAACAUGCAAGUCGAACGGACUUCAGUCCGCAAGGACUGAAGUGAGUGGCGAACGGCUGAGUAACACGUAGGUGACCUGCCCCGAAGUUUGGGAUAACACCUCGAAGAGGUGCUAAUACCGGAUGUGACCACCGAUUCAUUUCGGUGCUUAAAGUACGCAAGACGCUUUGGGAGGGGCCUGCGGCGGAUUAGCUAGUUGGUGUGGUAACGGCACACCAAGGCUUCGAUCCGUAGCUGGUCUGAGAGGA
rnacentral:rRNA from 1 species